UGAGGAAUAUUGGGCAAUGGAGGCAACUCUGACCCAGCCAUUCCGCGUGCAGGAUGACUGCCCUAUGGGUUGUAAACUGCUUUUCUAUUCCAAGAAACCCCAGUACGUGUACUGGGCUGACGGUAGGAUAGGAAUAAGCAUCGGCUAACUCCGUGCCAGCAGCCGCGGUAAUACGGAGGAUGCAAGCGUUAUCCGGAUUUAUUGGGUUUAAAGGGUGCGUAGGCGGGAUAGUAAGUCAGUGGUGAAAGCCUGCGGCUUAACCGUAGAAUUGCCAUUGAUACUGUUAUUCUUGAAUAUAGUUGAGGUAGGCGGAAUGUGUAAUGUAGCGGUGAAAUGCUUAGAUAUUACACAGAACACCGAUUGCGUAGGCAGCUUACUAAGCUAUUAUUGACGCUGAGGCACGAAAGCGUGGGGAGCGAACAGGAUUAGAUACCCCCGUAGUCC
rnacentral:rRNA from 1 species